rnacentral:rRNA from 1 species
CACUCCUGCGGGAGGCAGCAGUGGGGAAUCUUGCGCAAUGGGCGAAAGCCUGACGCAGCCAUGCCGCGUGAAUGAUGAAGGUCUUAGGAUUGUAAAAUUCUUUCACCGGGGACGAUAAUGACGGUACCCGGAGAAGAAGCCCCGGCUAACUUCGUGCCAGCAGCCGCGGUAAUACGAAGGGGGCUAGCGUUGCUCGGAAUUACUGGGCGUAAAGGGAGCGUAGGCGGACAUUUAAGUCAGGGGUGAAAUCCCGGGGCUCAACCUCGGAAUUGCCUUUGAUACUGGGUGUCUUGAGUAUGAGAGAGGUGUGUGGAACUCCGAGUGUAGAGGUGAAAUUCGUAGAUAUUCGGAAGAACACCAGUGGCGAAGGCGACACACUGGCUCAUUACUGACGCUGAGGCUCGAAAGCGUGGGGAGCAAACAGGAUUAGAAACCCUUGUAGUCCC